rnacentral:misc_RNA from 1 species
AUGCUUUGAGAAAAGAAGUCCUUUAUUAGGUGCAGAUUUCAAAUACCUCAAGAUGCGAAAGACAGCCUCGAAGUGAGAUUUUCUAGGAUUAUGCAUGUAUUGACUUACUAGACUCACAUGAUAGGCUAUAUCUGGUCUAAUGUGAGAGAGAUAAAUCAAUCUCCCAACUAACUUCUGAUAUUUCCCUAAGUCAACUGAUUCUCCAACUCCUGCUUGUAGUUUGUUAUUAGUUUCCAUAGGAGAUUCAUCAGGUUUACAGCCUAACAUGCUAGUUUUCUCUAGAAGAUCCAAUAUGUACUUUCUUUGAGAAGUGAAGAUUUUUUUGUUUGAUUUGGCCACCUCUAUUCCAAGGAAGUACUUCAAUUUACUCAAGUUUUUAAUCUCAAAUUCACGGGCCAAGAGUUCUUUCAGAUUGGCAAUCUCUUCCUUGUCAUUUACUGUCACAACUAUGUCAUCAACAUAAACGAUAAGUAGUGUAAUCAUACCUCUACGAUGUUUCAUAAAUAGAGUAUGAUUAGCAUUGCUUUGAUAAUAUCCAAAGAAAAUCAUGGUCUCACUAAACCUGUCAAACCAUGCUCUUGGUGACUGCUUUAGAUUAUAUAAUGCCUUCUUCAUUCUGCAGGUUUUCCUUUCAGUUUUUUUAUUAUCAAAUCCUAGAGGAAUUUUCAUGUACACCUCCUCCUUCUCUAAGUCACCAUGCGAAAAAGCAUUUGACAUUAAACUGCUGUAGAUUCCAUUCAAGAUUUGUUGCAUAUGAUAAUAAGAUUCUGAUAGUAUUCAUUUUUGCAACAAGUGCAAAAGUCUCUUGAUAGUCCACCCUGUAUGACUGAGUGAAGCCUUUUGCUACUAAUCUUGCCUUGUAUCUUUUAAUGAAACGAUCAACUCUAUGCUUUAUAGUGAAUACCCAUUUGCAUCCAACUGAUUUUUUUCCCACUAAAAGAGUAACAAGAUUCAUGUCUCAUUUUUUGUCAAAACCUUCAUCUCCUUUACCAUAGCUACCCUCCAUUUUGGAUCAAGGUAUGCUUUCUUUCAAUCAUGUGGGAUAAAAAUAGAAGAAAUAGACAACACAAAGGCUUUAUAGAUAGAGGACAAAGGGUCAUAGGAAACAAAAUGGGAUAUAAGAUGUUUGGUAUAGGUCUUGACUCAUUUUCUAAGAGUAGUAGGAAGAUCAAGAUCAUUAAUAGAAGAAUCAGAAUUAGACUAAGAAUUAGAAGGAGACUCGCCACAUACCUCCUCAGGACUAGGAUGUUUAGGAGCCAAAUCUAGGGGUUCUGACUAAUCUGGUGUAUCUUGCUCAAUGACUGUAUCUGUCUUUUCACAACGAUUGUAAGUUCUUAAAUCCACCCUAUUGAAUCUUUCUCUAGGUUGAGAAGCAAUUGUUUGAGGAGCUACUUAGAUUAGGUCCAAGUCUAAUAAUCUCUCUCUGAAAAGGUGUAGGGAAAAUAACCUCUUCUUUUUUAUUCUCCCCUUGAAGAAGUGACUGGAAAUAAUGUUCAGAUUUUCUAAAGGUGAUAUCUAUGCUCACAAAAUAUUUCCUUGAAAGAGGAUGAUAACACUUAUACCUCUUUUGAGUUUCAGAAUAACCCACAAACUCACAUUUCAGAGCUCUAGGUUCUAAUUUCUCAACAUUAGACUUAUGAACAAAACAAACACAAUCAAAGAUUUUUGGAGGAACUGUAUAAGAAUUCUUACCUUGAAGAGCUUCUAAAGGACUCUUAAAGUUCAAGGUGUAAAGAGACAUUCGAUUGAUAAGAUAUGCUGUAAAAGGAACAGCAUCCCCCCAUUAAGAUGUAGAAAGAUUCAUAGUGAACGUAAGAGACCAAGUUACUUCAAGUAAGUAUUUAUUUUUACUCUCAAACACCCCAUUCUGUGCAGUAGUGUUAACACAGCUAGUCUGAAGUAAAAUUCCCACGUGAACCUAAGUGAGACUGAAACAUUUCAUUCAUGUAUUUUGUACCAUAAUCAGUUCUUAGAAGUUUAACUUGAGCAUUAAACUGAGUACAAAUCAUUUUAUGAAAC